ACCCCGCGGCCGCCUCCGGCAUUCCCGUUCGUCCCACCACUGCAAAUCCGCAAUCCACUCCCCACUCUGACGAAACCCUAGCCAUGGCGUGGCGCGGCGCCGCCUCCCGCUCCCUCUUCGCUGCCGUCCGCGGCCGCAACGCCUCCUCCACCUCGCGUCUCCGUGCGGCCGCGCCUCUCCCGGCCGCCCCUCGCAGACGCAUCUCCGCUUUCGCCCCCUCGUCCUCGCCCUUCGCCACCGCAAGGCCGUUGGCAACGAUGAUGGGGUCGCCCGCGGCGGUGGCGGCGAGGCUUACCGGGCACCCGGCGGCCAGCCUGCGGGCAUGCUCUGAGCUCUCCCAGGGUACCCUCUUCUGCCGCACUUGUCCGGAUCGCUAGCAAGAAAUGGAGAUGAUGCAUGAUGCUUGGGAAGCAGCUUUAAAGCAUGGACAAGGUACUUAAUAUGCUGUCCUUCAAUGCAAGAAUACAAAUUCUUUAGUGGUUGCAUCUUUUGGAAGCUCUUCCGUCUUGCGUCCCUUUUCCUGCAUUUUGCAGAGUUCUUGUGUCUUUUAGACAAACGGACAUUAUACUUGCCCCAACUUUUGUAUAAAUAAUCUUCUGCUAAUCAGAUACACAUUGUUUCGCUAUGUUAUUAAACAGUGUUUGAGCCAUUGGUCGGUUCCGGUUGAACAAAGGUUUCAUUUUCAUU